GCCACGCAGGCCGCUGCUGCUUUAGCCAAGGCACAAGAUGACUUGACUGGACUUAAAAUGCAGUUGGAACUCGUUGAGCGUCAAAGAACUCUGUUAGAAGAGCGGUGCACGGAGAUCACAACUCAAGUCGGGUGUUUGGAGAGGGAGUUGCAGCAGCUGCGGCCGCUGCAGUCGGCCCACGCCGCGCUGCAGCGGCAGUACGUGGAGUUGCAGGAACGCAUCUGUUCGGCCACUGAAGAAGCUCGCAAGGAAUCAUCUCGUCUGGAAGCAGAGCUUCGCCGAGUAGAGCGUUGCGCAAGCGGCGGUUCCGAGAUUCGCGAG